rnacentral:misc_RNA from 1 species
GAUGAAGAACGUAGCGAAAUGCGAUACUUGGUGUGAAUUGCAGAAUCCCGUGAACCAUCGAGUCUUUGAACGCAAGUUGCGCCCGAAGCCUCGGCUAAGGGCACGUCUGCCUGGGCGUCACGCAUCGCGUCUCCCCCAAACCGCCAAGGCGGAGGGGAAGGAAGAUGGCUUCCCGUGCCUCACCCGGCGCGGUUGGCCUAAAUUUGGAGCCCGCGGCACUUAGCUCUCGUGGCGAUAGGUGGUGAACAAGGCCUUGGCCGUGCAAACAACCCGCUGCGUAUCUCUAUGUCACGUGCGCUCGUCGGACCCUUUGAAGUUGCCUUCGGUGACUUAAAACCUUUGCGACCCCAGGUCAGGCGGGGCUACCCGCUGAAUUUAAGCAUAUCAAUAAGCGGAGGA